rnacentral:sRNA from 1 species
CGGUGACGAUCUGCGGGCAGAUGAAGUGCACAUGGGUGUCGAUGGCACCGGCGGUGAGGAUCUUGCCAUUGCCCGCGAUGACCUCGGUGGCCGGCCCGAUGACGAGGUCCGGAUGUACCCCGGACAUCGUGUCCGGGUUGCCGGCCCUGCCCAGCGCGACGAUCCGCCCGUCGCGGAUCCCGACGUCGGCCUUGACGACGCCCCAGUGGUCGAGCACGACCGCGCCGGUGAUGACGGUGUCGAGCGCGCCCUCCGCCCGGGUGGCGCGGGACUGGCCCAUCGACUCG